UACAGAGGUCUCAAGCGUUGUUCGGAUUCAUUGGGCGUAAAGGGUGCGUAGGCGGCGCGGUAAGUCGGGUGUGAAAUCUCGGGGCUUAACUCCGAAACUGCAUUCGAUACUGCCGUGCUUGAGGACUGGGGAGGAGACUGGAAUUUACGGUGUAGCGGUGAAAUGCGUAGAUAUCGUAAGGAAGACCAGUGGCGAAGGCGGGUCUCUGGACAGUUCCAUGA
rnacentral:rRNA from 1 species